rnacentral:rRNA from 1 species
CGGGGCGCAGCAGGCGCGAAAACUUUACAAUGCUGGCAACAGCGAUAAGGGGACCUCGAGUGCCAGGUUACAAAUCUGGCUGUCGUGAUGCCUAAAAAGCAUUGCAUAGCAAGGGCCGGGCAAGACCGGUGCCAGCCGCCGCGGUAACACCGGCGGCUCGAGUGGUAACCGUUAUUAUUGGGUCUAAAGGGUCUGUAGCCGGCCGGAUAAGUCUCUUGGGAAAUCCAGCAGCUCAACUGUUGGGCUUUCAGGAGAUACUGUCUGGCUCGAGGCCGGGAGAGGUGAGAGGUACUUCAGGGGUAGGGGUGAAAUCUUGUAAUCCUUGAAGGACCACCAGUGGCGAAGGCGUCUCACCAGAACGGACCUGACGGCAAGGGACGAAAGCUAGGGGCACGAACCGGAUUAGAUACCCGGGUAGUCCUAGCCGUAAACGAUACUCGCUAGGUGUCGGCCACGGUGCGACCGUUGUCGGUGCCGUAGGGAAGCCGUGAAGCGAGCCACCUGGGAAGUACGGCCGCAAGGCUGAAACUUAAAGGAAUUGGCGGGGGAGCAC